rnacentral:rRNA from 1 species
GACGAACGCUGGCGGCGUGCUUAACACAUGCAAGUCGAACGGAAAGGCCCUGCUUUUGUGGGGUGCUCGAGUGGCGAACGGGUGAGUAACACGUGAGUAACCUGCCCUUGACUUUGGGAUAACUUCAGGAAACUGGGGCUAAUACCGGAUAGGAGCUCCUGCUGCAUGGUGGGGGUUGGAAAGUUUCGGCGGUUGGGGAUGGACUCGCGGCUUAUCAGCUUGUUGGUGGGGUAGUGGCUUACCAAGGCUUUGACGGGUAGCCGGCCUGAGAGGGGGACCGGCCACAAUGGGACUGAGGUACGGACCAGACUGCUACGGGAGGCAGCAGGGGGGAAUAUUGCGCAAUGGGCGGAAGCCUGAUGCAGCAACGCCGCGUGCGGGAUGACGGCCUUCGGGUUGUAAACCGCUUUCGCCUGUAACGAAGCGUGAGUGACGGUAAUGGGUAAAGAAGCACCGGCUAACUACGUG